CCUGUGCAAAGCCCCCGUGCCAGCAACACCGUUCCGCCGUGGCAGGAGGGAGAGGAGGGAGGGGGAUGAAGGCUGAACUACAUCUCAACCCCUGACGCCAUCCAGGUUCGUUCCCGGUUUCAAUUAUCACCUGCUGGAGCAGCAGCUGCCGAGUGCCGGGAACUCAAAGGUCAGCAAAAGACAGAUGAUGAUGAGGGCAGAACUGGGAAGGCACCAGGGACAUCGAGGCCAAGCAGGAAGCAUGGAGAAGAUCCAUUGGUUAAAACACACGACAACAGUGGAGCAAAAAAAUUUAAUAUUUAAGGGGGGAAACCAAAGGCAGAGGGAGAAGGGAAGAGCCAAGGACGGCGCGAGCAGAAACUGAGCUCCAGAGACAGGCGCGGUGCCCCAGAGCGAAAACAAGCCCUGUUGCUGCUCAUCACGCUCCGUCUGCUCGAUCCUGCUUGACGCGCUGAGACACCGCGAAACAGAGACCACAGGGAUGGGGACAGAGCCCAGGGCUGCCUGGGGGUCCCGGGGCACGUGUGAGCCACCGGCAUUUGCACGGGCAUCAGCAGAGAUGCACAGUGGGGAGAGGAGAUGGAGACCCCUGGCACAGUGAGCCCCCUGGCACAGCGAGCCCCUGGCAGGGGAAAGGGGACAAAGAAGAGGGGAGGGAAGAUGGGGGUGGAAGAUGAGCUGGGAUGUGCUCAGGAGAGGGGUGCAAGCCAAAGCCUGCAUGCCCUCUUAGCUCCGACGCUGUGGAGCAACAAGCUGCAUUAGCCAAGCCCAGGGAAGGACACAAACCGAUGCUCUCGGAGUGGAAAAGCAGCCAGAUCUCAUCCCAUGGGAUGUUCCCUGGCAGCAGGCUCAGCAGCACUCGCUGGCCCUGCUUGCUUACCCCCCAG